rnacentral:rRNA from 1 species
GAACGAGAAAGUGGAGCAAUCCAUGAGUACAGUGGCGACCGGGUGAGUAACACGUGAGUACCUGCCCUUGAGUGGGGGAUAACUUCGGGAAACCGAGGCUAAUACCGCAUAACAUCGCAAGAUCAAAGGAGCAAUCCGCUGAAGGAGGGGGUCGCGGCUGAUUAGCUAGUUGGUGAGGUAACGGCUCACCAAGGCGAAGAUCAGUAGCCGGCCUGAGAGGGCGCACGGCCACACUGGAACUGAAACACGGUCCAGACUCCUACGGGAGGCAGCAGUGGGGAAUUUUGCGCAAUGGGGGAAACCCUGACGCAGCAACGCCGCGUGGAGGAUGAAGUCCCUUGGGAUGUAAACUCGGUUCGAUCGGGACGAUUAUGACGGUACCGGAAGAAGAAGCACCGGCUAACUAUGUGCCAGCA